rnacentral:rRNA from 1 species
AGUGAACGCUGGCGGCAGGCCUAACACAUGCAAGUCGAGCGGCAGCGCGUCCGACCACCCUCGGGUGGUCGGAUGGCGGCGAGCGGCGGACGGGUGAGGAAUGCAUCGGAAUCUGCCUCGUUGUGGGGGAUAACGUAGGGAAACUUACGCUAAUACCGCAUACGACCUACGGGUGAAAGUGGGGGACCUUCGGGCCUCACGCGAUGAGAUGAGCCGAUGCCGGAUUAGCUAGUUGGCGGGGUAAAGGCCCACCAAGGCGACGAUCCGUAGCUGGUCUGAGAGGAUGAUCAGCCACACUGGAACUGAGACACGGUCCAGACUCCUACGGGAGGCAGCAGUGGGGAAUAUUGGACAAUGGGGGCAACCCUGAUCCAGCCAUGCCGCGUGUGUGAAGAAGGCCUGCGGGUUGUAAAGCACUUUUAGUGGGGAGGAAGGUCUGCGACCUAACACGUCGUGGAAUUGACUUAACCCACAGAAAAAGCACCGGCU